AACAUCCUCUGGACCUCUCCUGCUGGAAUCCACACUCCCUCUCUGAAGGAGAGCUCUAAAAAUGGAGAGCUAGAGAGAAGAGCUACAAAAACUGGUGGCCGUCACCAGUCAGUGCCGUUCAGGUGUAAUUAGUGGCCCAGUUCAGCCUGUGUGGAAAGAACAUCACCACAAGAACCCCGUGAUUUGGCCCCCUGGCAAGCCAAGGUGUGGGAAAGGCAAUGGGCAUGGAUACUUCCGACUGUCAGCUGAGGAGAAGAAGCAAAGACCGCAUAGAAGAUGACGCCGCCGUAGUGCACCAGCGCUGCGAUGAGGAACACACUCUGCCACUCCUCGCGGGUCUGACAAAGGAAGUGCCGGUUACCGCUUUAAGCAAGAACAGAGCUAAAGGCCUCACCCGGGUGAAAGCAUCUGCCCCUCAAAGGCCACAUUGUGCUUCUGGGAGGACCAACAUCCAGAAUCUACACUUCAUUUGAGUACUUGAAAAUGAAAGUUAAGACCA